rnacentral:rRNA from 1 species
GACGAACGCUGGCGGCGUGCUUAACACAUGCCAGUCGAGCGGAAAGGCCACUUCGGUGGUACUCGAGCGGCGAACGGGUGAGUAACACGUGAGUAAUCUGCCCCUCACUUUGGGAUAGCCACCGGAAACGGUGAUUAAUACCGGAUAUGACCAUAUGUCGCAUGGCGUGUGGUGGAAAGUUUUUCGGUGAGGGAUGUGCUCGCGGCCUAUCAGCUUGAUGGUGAGGUAAUGGCUCACCAUGGCUUCGACGGGUAGCCGGCCUGAGAGGGUGACCGGUCACACUGGGACUGAGACACGGCCCAGACUCCUACGGGAGGCAGCAGUGGGGAAUAUUGGACAAUGGGCGGAAGCCUGAUCCAGCAACGCCGCGUGAGGGAUGACGGCCUUCGGGUUGUAAACCUCUUUCAGUACCGACGAAGCGCAAGUGACGGUAGGUACAGAAGAAGCACCGGCCAACUACAUG